CAACCCUCAAGCUCUGCUUGGCGUUGGGGCCCUACGGUUGACGUAGGCCCUCAAAGGUAGUGGCGGACCCUCUCGGAGCCUCCUUUGCGUAGUAACUUUUGUCUCGCACUGGGAUCCGGAGGGGCUUCCGGCCGUAAAACCCCCCAAUUCUUCCAAA
rnacentral:misc_RNA from 1 species